AGUGAACGCUGGCGGUAGGCCUAACACAUGCAAGUCGAACGGCAGCACAGUAAGAGCUUGCUCUUACGGGUGGCGAGUGGCGGACGGGUGAGGAAUACAUCGGAAUCUACUUUUUCGUGGGGGAUAACGUAGGGAAACUUACGCUAAUACCGCAUACGACCUACGGGUGAAAGCAGGGGAUCUUCGGACCUUGCGCGAUUGAAUGAGCCGAUGUCGGAUUAGCUAGUUGGCGGGGUAAAGGCCCACCAAGGCGAUGAUCCGUAGCUGGUCUGAGGGGAUGAUCAGCCACACUGGAACUGAGACACGGUCCAGACUCCUACGGGAGGCAGCAGUGGGGAAUAUUGGACAAUGGGCGCAAGCCUGAUCCAGCCAUACCGCGUGGGUGAAGAAGGCCUUCGGGUUGUAAAGCCCUUUUGUUGGGAAAGAAAAGCAGCAGGUUAAUACCCCGCUGUUCUGACGGUACCCAAAGAAUAAGCACCGGCUAACUUCGUG
rnacentral:rRNA from 1 species